rnacentral:rRNA from 1 species
AUUGAACGCUGGCGGCAGGCCUAACACAUGCGAGUCGAGCGGAUGAAGGGAGCUUGCUCCUGGAUUCAGCGGCGGACGGGUGAGUAAUGCCUAGGAAUCUGCCUGGUAGUGGGGGAUAACGUCCGGAAACGGGCGCUAAUACCGCAUACGUCCUGAGGGAGAAAGUGGGGGACCUUCGGACCUCACGCUAUCAGAUGAGCCUAGGUCGGAUUAGCUAGUUGGUGGGGUAAAGGCCUACCAAGGCGACGAUCCGUAACUGGUCUGAGAGGAUGAUCAGUCACACUGGAACUGAGACACGGUCCAGACUCCUACGGGAGGCAGCAGUGGGGAAUAUUGGACAAUGGGCGAAAGCCUGAUCCAGCCAUGCCGCGUGUGUGAAGAAGGUCUUCGGAUUGUAAAGCACUUUAAGUUGGGAGGAAGGGCAGUAAGUUAAUACCUUGCUGUUUUGACGUUACCAACAGAAUAAGCACCGGCUAACUUCGUG